GAGCCAUUAGCUCAGCUGGAAGAGCACCUGACUUUUAAUCAGGGUGUCGGAGGUUCGAAUCCUCCAUGGCUCA
rnacentral:tRNA from 1 species